GGACCAUAAAGAAGGAUGAGAGCCAAAGAACUGAUGCUUUCCAACCGUGGUGCUGGAGAAGACUCUUGAGAGUCUCUUGUCAGUCAAGGGGCUGAUUGACAAUGAAUCAAACCAGUCAAUCCUAAAGGAAAUCAACUCUGAAUAUUCACUGGGAGGACUGAUGCUGAAGUUGAAGCUCCAAUACUUUGGCCACCUGAUGGGAAGAGCUGACCCAAUGGAAAAGGAAGGAUUGAAGGCGGGAGGAGAAGGGGACGACAGAGGAUAAGAUGGUUAGAUGGCAUCACCCACUCAAUGGACAUGAGUUUGAGCAAACUCCAGGAGAUAGUGAUGGACAGGGAAGCCCGGCGUGCUGCAGUCCAUGGGGUCACAAAGAGUAGGACACAUCUUAGUGCCUGAACAACAACAACAGCCAGGAUGAUGCCCUGUGUGUCUCCCCACCCCUUGUGCCCUUUGUCUGGGUUUGGCUUCCCUCUCCAGACAGAACCACAGGAUUUUUAAAGGUGGCUUAGAGGCUCUAGGACACUGCUGACUGAGCCCACUGCCCACCGCUUGCUCCUUGCUCACCAUCGACAGCGUCUUGGUGCUCUGAGAGAGCCCUACAGCAGAGAGAAAGACUGCUGCCCCAGCCCACGGGAAGUCCUUCUCCAAGCCCAAACACUGCAGGGAGGAUCACCGGGGGCAGCCAGCACCCUGACGAGUGGGCUGACUCAGAGGGAGUCUCCAGUCAUGUCACCUAAAAAUCACCUGGAGUCAACUUGUUGGAGACAAGCUAAAAAAGGACAAUUGGAGAAAUAUGAAUGUGGG
ensembl:lncRNA